rnacentral:rRNA from 1 species
AAAGAAAGCGUAAUAGCUCACUGGUCGAGUCGGCCUGCGCGGAAGAUGUAACGGGGCUAAACCAUGCACCGAAGCUGCGGCAGCGACACUCAGGUGUUGUUGGGUAGGGGAGCGUUCUGUAAGCCUGUGAAGGUGUGUCGUGAGGCAUGCUGGAGGUAUCAGAAGUGCGAAUGCUGACAUAAGUAACGAUAAAGCGGGUGAAAAGCCCGCUCGCCA